ACCCGGUCCAUGCCCUCCGGCUGAAUCCGGGCGGCCUGUAGGCCAGGCAGCCAGGAGGCCCUGUGCUGCAACAUCCCGGCGGCAGCCGGACCCGUUGCUCCGUCUAUCCUGCCUUCGGCCCUGUCCUGGAGCCAGGGCUGGGGUUUGCUGCCUCCCGCCUGACGGAGCAGGACUGGCAGGAAGCGUGUUUGCAAGAAGCCAAAAUUACAGAAGGCGAAGAUUUUUAAAUUAACUCCAUUCAUCUUUCAAGGGACAUUUCCAGAACCUCCAAAAGGCAACCCGAGGUCUUCUACACACCCUCCAGCAGACUGUCCCCACUGUCAGUGGAGGGAGCUAAGGUUCAGUGAGGUCAAGUGACUUAGUUGUCCCAGGUCAAAAUCCAAGUUUGCCUGGUGUCAAAGCCCAAGCACCCUUCAUUACACUAUGGGAUCAUCUAGAUGUGGUUGGGAGACGAGGAUCCUAGUUUUAAACUUCAGGCCCAGGAUUUGCUGGGUUUAGAUAUCUACUGGGAAAGGUAUAGAAUUCCAGAGUUGGAAAGCACUUAAAACCUUGCCUAAUGCAAGGCAAUCCGCUCAAUCCCAGGAACGAAACUUAAACUGACCUUAUUUUUUUUUUAAAUACAGGAUCUCAGUCGGUCGCCCAGGCUGGAGUGCAGUGGCACCAUCCCGUCUCACUGCAACCUCUGCCUCCUGCCUCCUGGGUUCAAGCGAUUCUCCAGCCUCAACCUCCCAAGUAGCUGGGAUUACAGGUGUGUGCCACCUCACCCGACUAUUUUUUUUUUGUAGAGACGGGGUUUCACUGUGUUGCCCAGGAUGGUCUUGAAUUCCUGAGCUCAAAGC
rnacentral:lncRNA from 1 species